AUUGAACGCUGGCGGCAGGCCUAACACAUGCAAGUCGAACGCGUGGCGGACGGGUGGGUAAUGUCUGGGAAACUGCCUGAUGGAGGGGGAUAACUACUGGAAACGGUAGCUAAUACCGCAUAACAUCAGAUGUGCCCAGAUGGGAUUAGCUUUGUGGGGGGGUAACGGCUCACCAAGGCGACGGUCCCUAGCUGGUCAGAGCUGAUGACCAGCCACACUGGAACUGAGACACGGUCCCGACUCCUACGUGAGGCAGCAGUGGGGAAUAGUGCACAAUGGGCGCAAGCCUGAUGCAGCCAUGCCGCGUGUAGGAAGAAGGCCUUCUGGUUGUAAAGUACUUUCAGCGUGGAGGCGUUACCCGCAGAAGAAGCACCGGCUAACUCCGUGCCAGCAGCCGCGGUAAUUC
rnacentral:rRNA from 1 species